CAAUUAAACUGUUAAUAGGUCCCGACUGAUUCCUCUUUUGCAACUGUCAUUAGUCUAAUACUAUCCUUACCUUUUAUGUCACUUUACCCCACUCCCUCUAGCAUGUAAGCUCAUUGAGCAGGGCCCUCAACCCCUCUGUCCCUGUGUGUCCAGCUUGUCUGGUUACAACUACAUGUCUGUUCAUCCACCCAAAUUAAGUUAUGGAUCUUUGCAUGCUGCAAUUCUGAAUUAGCAUUUCUAGUAUUGCGGCUGGACUGCGGGUUCCUCAGGCACCUAAUGCUUUGGUAAAACUGCUCAAACCUCUUGACCAAGAAC